rnacentral:rRNA from 1 species
GACGAACGCUGGCGGUGUGCUUAACACAUGCAAGUCGAACGGAAAGGCCCUGCUUUUGUGGCGUGCUCGAUUGGCGAACGGGUGUGUAACACGUGAGUAACCUGCCCUUGCCUUUGGGAUAACUUCAGGAAACUGGGGCUACUACCCGAUAGGAGCUCCUGCUGCAUGGUGGGGCUUGGAUAGUUUCGGCGGUUGGGUAUGGACUCGCGGCUUAUCUGCUUGUUGGUGGAGUAGUGGCUGACCAAGGCUUUGACGGGUAGCCGGCCUGAGCGGGGGACCGGCCACAUGGGGACUGAGAGAGGGCCGAGAAUCGAACGGGAGGCAGCAGUGGAGAAUGUUGCACGAGGGGCGGAAGCGUGAGGCAGCAACGCAGCGUGGGGAAUGACGGCCAUCGGGUUGUAAACGGCAGUAACGUAGGACGAAGGGUGAGUGACGGUAAUGGGUAGGGAAGCACCGGCUAACUACGUG